GACGAACGCUGGCGGCGUGCUUAACACAUGCAAGUCGAACGAUGAUGCCAGCUUGCUGGUGGAUUAGUGGCUAACGAGUGAGUAACACGUGAGCAACCUGCCCCUGACUUCGGGAUAACCGCUUGAAACCGACUCUAAUACCUGAUGGGACGCGCUAUCGCCUGGUUGGUGGUGGUAGGAUUUAUCGGGUGGGUGUGGGCUCGCGGCCGGUCAGCUUGUUGGUGGGGUGGUGGCCUACCAAGGCGACGUCUGGUAGGCGGCCUGAGUGGGUGGCCGGCCAGACUGGGAUGGGGAUGCGGCACAGACUAGUCCGGGAGGGAGCAGAGGAGAAGAUUGUAUAAUGCGAGCAAGCCAGGUGCAGCGACGCAGCGCGGGGGACGACGGCCUUCCGGUUGUAAUGCUAUUCGCGUAGGGCAGAAGGGAUUCGGGUUGACGGUAAAUGCAGAAGAAGCGACGGCUAAAUACGUG
rnacentral:rRNA from 1 species